AAAUUUAGGCUUUUUUAUGUAGUGAAAUACUGGAAACAAAAGAGGGCGAUUUCAGCGGUGACUCAAUUGGAGCUUCAGCAGGUGAGUCUUGAGGUCUUGCAAAUGCAACAACUCAUCGCUCUUCUUUUUUUUUUUUCUUUUCUUAAAGUGAUUGUCACAUGUCCAUAAAUGGGGACGGCAAGCCUAAGUAGCACAAUUUGAAAUUGAAACUUCCUCAGUGCAGUGGGUGUGGAAGAUCUCUCUACAAGCCUCUGAGACAGUUAGACCUCUUCCUGUGGUUAAGUCACGUGGCCAGGAGAUGGUUAAAAGGAGGCCAUUUCUCAGUAAGAGACCCGUUUCUUCAUGGGACAGGAUGAGGACUACUGGUAAGCACUCAGGAGCCGUUCUUUCCAAAAACCUUUUCUUCAUUUCUGACUGCAUUACUUUAUACCUAAAGGGAUGGGGGAAGCAAAGCUUGUAUUUUUCUCUCUGCAGUGUAUAAUGAGAUAUUUAUAUCUUUUUAUUUUCUGUGCCUUUCUUUUCAGUACAAAUAAGUGACAUGGGUGAAAACCAGAUAUAUUGAAUUGAACAUCUAUUAGAUAUUUUUGCACUUGACUACCUAGAAGUAUUUUGUAAAACUAUAGGUAUUUUUUAUGGUUACAAAUUGUAACAAUAACAAUUUUUAAUGUUUUAACAAGUUAAUACUUGCGUCACUAUCUGCGGUGCUUUUCUAAUGGUGGUAUUGUGGUACCGAAGAUGAUUUUAUUUUGCUAACCUUUUGGCACCUCAGCUAAUAGGGGCCUGCUUUAAGAAGCAGGGCAUGCAAACAUUAGCAGCUAUCUUAUAUAUUCAGUUAGGUUUGAAUUUUAAAAAUAAUUUGCAGGAGUAUUAUAAAAAGAUUAAUAUUUGUCAGCCUUACUAUUGGGCAGGGAACGUAAGAUAUUAAAUUAGUAAUUAAUUAAAUCACAAAGAAUUGUAAAGUGCGUGUGCCGAGUAUGUUCAUUAUGUAUAUUUCUAAAAAAAGAAAGUUAAAAGCCCAACAUUUCAGCCUCUGAACUUCUAAACGUUUCAGGGGGAGAGAAGGAGGAAAAAAAAGCAGAAGUAUUAUUUCCUGUAAAACUGACAUUUUGGUAGUGAAGCCCAGUUGUAUUUUAAAUAUAUCAAUUUUAAUUGUUGUUAGUUUCAAAGGGGUAUAUUGCUGGUGCAUUGAUUAUUUUAGGGGGUUUCAGCUAAGAAAAGGGAACAAAAAUCAUUUGUACAUUUUCAGGGGUAUAUUAUUGGUUGGUAUAUUAUAAUGGAUGUGUGCAGCCUUUUUUACUGUGUAAAUAAAAAAUCUUUUAGAAUUUAUACUAAAGAAUCAAAUGUUUUUUGCAACUUUUUAAUUAUUCAGAAAUUAUUAAUGUAAUGUAAUAGUGGUGUAUUCUAAUGCUUUUUAAUGGUAACCUAAAUGUCUUAAAUAUGCAAUAUUUGAAGAAUGUCCAGUAUAAAGAAAGUUGUCCUUUGGCAGUAAAUGUAAAACUAGCUGUGUCUUCUUGGAGAUUGUUAUAAAGUGAGCAGAUUAAAAGCAAGCAGCCAUUGUCAAUGAAGUUGGUGUCAAGGACAGCGGCUUUACGUGUCGCUUUAAAAGGCUCGGGGAGGGGGCUAAUGAAAGAGUGACUAAAAUGGCCGCCAGAAUGUUCCAGAAGGUCUCAGAAGAAUGAAGUUGAUCUUCAGAUGUACAGUGCAGUCAUCCAUAAAGUAGAAAGCACUACUAAACUCCUCAGAUCAGUGUAGUGUUUCCUACUUUAUGGAUGAGUGUACUGUUGGCUACUGAGAAAAAACAAAUAAAACACAGAGACAACCAGCGUCGUCCUCCUCAUGGAAACCAGGAACUCCACUUUGUUUCAGACCUGCAGCCACUGUUCAUGCUGUUUUUUUCUUUAAAAAUCACAUAAAUGGUGUGUGCAAGAAGAAACAAAGGACAAGAGAUCCUUUAGCCAAUAGUUGAAGUACAGACUUGUUUGUGUAGAGAUUUCAGUAGAAGAUGAACAGAACUGUAUUUAUGAAUGUCUGCUCUUGUGUUGUUUACAAGUUUAAUUUCCCAGUAUGUUCAUAAGUUUCCUUUUUCACUGUCCGUAAAUUGUGUAAUAAAGAAAAUGAAUAAAUCUGAAAUUUAAA